GAUGAAGAACGCAGCGAAAGGCGAUAAGUAAUGUGAAUUACAGAAUUCAGUGAAUCAUCGAAUCUUUGAACGCACAUUGCGCCCCCUGGUAUUCCGGGGGGCAUGCCUGUUCGAGCGUCAUUUCACCACUCAAGCCUCGCUUGGUAUUGGGCAACGCGGUCCGCCGCGUGCCUCAAAUCGACCGGCUGGGUCUUCUGUCCCCUAAGCGUUGUGGAAACUAUUCGCUAAAGGGUGUUCGGGAGGCUACGCCGUAAAACAACCCCAUUUCUAAGGUUGACCUCGGAUCAGGUAGGGAUACCCGCUGAACUUAAGCAUAUCAAUAAGCGGAGGA
rnacentral:misc_RNA from 1 species